rnacentral:lncRNA from 1 species
AGAAAUGAGUGAUUGAAGCAAUGUUGGUUGUCGGUAGCAAACAAUGAAACGUAAUUUGCAAAGUGAUUGUAGCCAAAAACAAAAUGAACACAAAACGUAUACGAAUUAAUGACUAAAAGUCAAUAAUAAGUAGCAAGAAGAUUAGCUCAAUUGAUCUGGAAUUAACCUACAAAGACAGAACAAUCUCAGACUAUAAAGAUAAGUUUGUCGAAACCAUGGGAGAUUUGAUGAAUAUACAAGCACGGUAGUUAUCUCAAAAAUGGAAUUGAUGACUCUAGGGACAAUUAGAAGUCGGAACCAACACAUAAGAUCGAUUCAAGACCCCAAGUAGUAAAGUCGUUCACUCACUCGAAAAUAUCUGUGUAAUCAUACGUCGACCGCAAAGUGACCUCGUUGAUAAUAUAUCACUUGUUAUAUAUCGUAGUGAAAAUUUAAUAAAAAUACGUAGAGAUUCGAACUCUGGA